rnacentral:rRNA from 1 species
AUUGAACGCUGGCGGCAUGCCUUACACAUGCAAGUCGAACGGUAACGGGCCUUCGGGUGCCGACGAGUGGCGAACGGGUGAGUAAUGCAUCGGAACGUACCUUUCAGUGGGGGGAUAACGUAGCGAAAGUUACGCUAAUACCGCAUAUUCUGUGAGCAGGAAAGCAGGGGAUCGCAAGACCUUGCGCUGAUUGAGCGGCCGAUGUCAGAUUAGCUAGUUGGUGAGGUAAAGGCUCACCAAGGCGACGAUCUGUAGCGGGUCUGAGAGGAUGAUCCGCCACACUGGAACUGAGACACGGUCCAGACUCCUACGGGAGGCAGCAGUGGGGAAUUUUGGACAAUGGGGGCAACCCUGAUCCAGCCAUGCCGCGUGUGUGAUGAAGGUCCUUAGGGUUGUAAAGCACUUUCGCCGGUGAAGAUAAUGACGGUAACCGGAGAAGAAGCCCCGGCUAACUUCGUG